UUUUGAAGAAUGAGCCUGCGAGUUAGCGGCAUGUCGCGAGGUUAACCCGUGUGGGGUAGCCGUAGCGAAAGCGAGUCCGAAUAGGCGUUUGUAGUGGCAUGUUCUAGACCCGAAGCGGAGUGAUCUACCCAUGGCCAGGGUGAAGCGACGGUAAGACGUCGUGGAGGCCCGAACCCACUUAGGUUGAAAACUGAGGGGAUGAGCUGUGGGUAGGGGUGAAAGGCCAAUCAAACUCCGUGAUAGCUGGUUCUCCCCGAAAUGCAUUUAGGUGCAGCGUCGCGUGUUUCACUCUGGAGGUAGAGCUACUGGAUGGCCGAUGGGCCCCACAAGGUUACUGACGUCAGCCAAACUCCGAAUGCCAGAGUGUGAGAGCGCGGCAGUGAGACUGCGGGGGAUAAGCUUCGUAGUCGAGAGGGAAACAGCCCAGAUCGCCGGCUAAGGCCCCUAAGCGUGUACUAAGUGGAAAAGGAUGUGGGGUCGCGAAGACAACCAGGAGGUUGGCUUAGAAGCAGCCACCCUUGAAAGAGUGCGUAAUAGCUCACUGGUCAAGUGAUCCUGCGCCGACAAUGUAGCGGGGCUCAAGUACACCGCCGAAGCCGCGGCAUUCACAUAACACCCAUGCGGGUCUACGGGCCUGUGUGCAGUGGUGUGGAUGGGUAGGGGAGCGUCGUGCAGCCAUGGAAGCGCCGGAGUGAUCCAGGUGUGGAGGCUGCACGAGUGAGAAUGCAGGCAUGAGUAGCGAAAGACGAGUGAGAAACUCGUCCGCCGAAUGACCAAGGGUUCCUGGGCCAGGUUAAUCCGCCCAGGGUGAGUCGGGACCUAAGGCGAGGCCGACAGGCGUAGUCGAUGGACAACGGGUUGAUAUUCCGUACCCGUGUGAACGCGCCCCUGGUGAAUCAGUGAUGCUAAGCGCCCUGAAGCCGCUUCGAACCUUCGGGUUCUCCGGUGUGUGGAUGCGCGUGAACCGAUCUGGUAGUAGCCAAGCGAUGGGGUGACGCAGGAAGGUAGCUGAGCCAGUCAGUGGUAAUACUGGUGUAAGCGUGUAGGGCGUGACCUAGGCAAAUCCGGGUCACAUACAGCCUGAGACGUGAUGCGUAGCCGAUUGAGGCGAAUUCAGUGAUCCUAUGCUGCCGAGAAAAGCCUCUAGCGAGCUUUCACACGGCCCGUACCCCAAACCGACACAGGUGGUCAGGUAGAGAAUACUAAGGCGAUCGAGAUAACUGUGGUUAAGGAACUCGGCAAAAUGCCCCCGUAACUUCGGGAGAAGGGGGCCUCGUCUGGUGACGGAACUUGCUUCCUGAGCUGGGUGGGGCCGCAGAGACCAGAGAGAAGCGACUGUUUACUAAAACACAGGUCCGUGCGAAGUCGUAAGACGAUGUAUACGGACUGACGCCUGCCCGGUGCUGGAAGGUUAAGAGGACCGGUUAGCCAGUAAUGGCGAAGCUGAGAAUUUAAGCCCCAGUAAACGGCGGUGGUAACUAUAACCAUCCUAAGGUAGCGAAAUUCCUUGUCGGGUAAGUUCCGACCUGCACGAAUGGCGUAACGACUUCUCUGCUGUCUCAACCACAGACUCGGCGAAAUUGCAUUACGAGUAAAGAUGCUCGUUACGCGCGGCAGGACGAAAAGACCCCGGGACCUUCACUAUAGCUUGGUAUUGGUGUUCGGUUCGGUUUGUGUAGGAUAGGUGGGAGACUGUGAAGCGGGCACGCCAGUGUUCGUGGAGUCGUUGUUGAAAUACCACUCUGAUCGUAUUGGACAUCUAACCUCGGACCAUGAUCUGGUUCAGGGACAGUGCCUGGUGGGUAGUUUAACUGGGGCGGUUGCCUCCCAAAAUGUAACGGAGGCGCCCAAAGGUUCCCUCAGCCUGGUUGGCAAUCAGGUGUCGAGUGCAAGUGCACAAGGGAGCUUGACUGUGAGACUGACAGGUCGAGCAGGGACGAAAGUCGGGACUAGUGAUCCGGCACCGGCAAGUGGAAGCGGUGUCGCUCAACGGAUAAAAGGUACCCCGGGGAUAACAGGCUGAUCUUCCCCAAGAGUCCAUAUCGACGGGAUGGUUUGGCACCUCGAUGUCGGCUCGUCGCAUCCUGGGGCUGGAGUAGGUCCCAAGGGUUGGGCUGUUCGCCCAUUAAAGCGGCACGCGAGCUGGGUUUAGAACGUCGUGAGACAGUUCGGUCUCUAUCCGCCGCGCGCGUUAGAAACUUGAGGAAGGCUGUCCCUAGUACGAGAGGACCGGGACGGACGAACCUCUGGUGUGCCAGUUGUUCCGCCAGGAGCACUGCUGGUUAGCUACGUUCGGAAGGGAUAACCGCUGAAAGCAUCUAAGCGGGAAGCCUGUUCCAAGAUGAGGUUUCUCACCCCCUCGAGGGGGUAAGGCCCCCGGCAGACCACCGGGUUGAUAGGCCAGAACUGGAAGCACAGUAAUGUGUGGAGGUGACUGGUACUAAUAGGCCGAGGACUUACCACAA
rnacentral:rRNA from 1 species